CCGCCGCCGCAUGAUUGACAGCGCCAGGCUGCGCCGCUGCUCUGCCCUCGCGGAUCCGCGUUCACGGGCUGGUAGGGCUGGGGGCUCGAGGUCUUCUGUCCCGUCUCCAAGGGCGCCUUCCUGCGGCUGUGGGGCUCUCGCACCGUCUUUCCCAUGUGUCCGGCCUCCUGUUGCGGGUGCCUGCUGUGGAAGGAACGCCCACCCUGCUCCCCUCCCAGGCCGUGCCCCUGGGCUGUCUGGAGUGUCCCCUGCGGACUGGGGCAGGGCCACCGAGAACUGGGCCUGCACCUGUAUUGACUUUCAAUUAAUUUUAAACACUCUCUGCAGUUACCAGAAAAUUUUUACAUCUAUUCAGAUCAACUUGGGCACCGGAGUCCAGGGUUCCAACUAUGAAUGUCCUGAAGUCUAAGUAAAGAUCAAAUAUUUCCAUGACAAUCUCCAAAUUGAGAUGUGCUCUGCCAGAAAUUGUAAAUCACACUUGCGGCUCCCGCACACACUGGAUGGCGCUGCCCUAGAUGCUCAGACAUGGAUCCAGAGCGUGCGCCCCGCCACACCCUGGUGCUCUCUGGGACCACGCGUGCGGGGAUGGUGGUCAUCAUUAUCACACGGGAGUUUGAGGCUCUGUUCACUCUCCUAGGACUCUCACAGCAGCCCGCCUGAGAGCGGCUUCCACUGAGGUUCGCAGAUACAGAUGAGGAAACUUAAGGCUUGCAGAUGAGAGGAGACUUCCAAGUCAUUCAGCAUGUGGGCAGCAGCACUUCUCCACUCUCCUGCUUGGUCCCAUCCCAUAAUGGUCCAAGGCUGUCCAGUGGACAGUGAGCCAAAGUGCAGAUGGAUCCUGGCUGAGACCCAAAUGCCUUCAUCAAAGGGGAGAGCCGCCUCCAGACCUGGCCGCGGACCUUGCGUGAUAAGCCAAGACUAUGAAACUUGCCCCCGGGCUGCAGAUGACUGGCUCUCAGCAGGGCCCAGGGGAUCCCCGAAAGCCUGAAUUCCACCAUUAGUCUCUGGCUCCUCUCUGGUUUCUGGGGAAGGAAGAGUGGCUGACUGAGAGCUGGAGGUGGGGGUGCAGAGCUGGCCCCUGGUGCACCAGCUCUGUGGCCUGCGAGUUUCAGCUUCCUCACCCAAAAAUGGGGUGGUAGGUUUGCUCUGAGUGUGCAUAGAUACGAUUCCGACCACAGGGAACAGGGCCUGCAUACAGCCAUGUGAGAGAGGCCAGCUAUUACUGUUUUGUGAAAUUGCUUUGAAAACAGUAAGGCACUGCACCUCCCUGGGUGGUAGUCGUUGUGUGCAAAUGGCACCAGGAUACCACAGUUGAGAAGCGGCCAUUUAUGUCAUGCAUGCAUUGAGGAGGCAGACUGACAGGUCCAAACUCAGAAUCUGCUGAAACUCUAAUCAUUUUUUGGAAUGUGGUUAAAAUAAUGAAUGACGAUGGCGGUGAUGGUGAUGGUGGUGAUGGUGAUGAUGGUGAUGAUGGUGGUGAUAAUGAUGACAGUGAUGGUGGUGAUGAUGGUGGUGAUGAUGACGAGCCCCACCUAUUUUCACUGGCUUUGGUCCCAGCAUUGUGCUAAGCACUUUACCCACAGUUAAUCCUCACAAGCUCCUCAUGAGCCAAGUAUGAUCACUCCUUGUUAUAGAUGAGAAGACUGAGGCUCAGAGAG
ensembl:lncRNA